GUUGGUAUCUGCAUUUCUGUGUUUUUUAAUUAUAUACACAAAAACAUAAAUGUAUAUAUAAUUUUUUUAAAAAAUAAAAAAUUUACAUACCAUGUAAAAGGAUAAAGACCAACAAGUCAUCAACUUUACUCCAACUGGAAUUACGACCCCUUAAAAAAUACCUAAAAAUAGCCAGCCAAUACUUAAAACUAUGAACAUUAAUUAUGACAACGCUGCCAGUUCCAUUGGUUGCUGUGUAAU
rnacentral:misc_RNA from 1 species